rnacentral:rRNA from 1 species
UACGUAGGGGGCGAGCGUUGUCCGGAGUUACUGGGCGUAAAGCGCUUGUAGGCGGUCCACCAAGUUUGGGGUGACAGUUGCCGACUUAAUCGGCAAAGUGCCUCAAAGACUGGCGGACUUGAGGGCCACAGAGGGACAUGGAACUCCAGGUGUAGCGGUGGAAUGCGUAGAGAUCCGGAAGAACACCGGUGGCGAAGGCGGCCUGCUGGGCAGUAGCUGACACUGAGGCGCGACAGCGUGGGGAGCAAACAGG